rnacentral:rRNA from 1 species
GAAACGAUGAUUAAAACCUGAUAACACCAUUUGGUUACAUGAGCAGAUGGUCAAAGAUUUAUCGGCAAAGGAUGGGCCUGCGUCUGAUUAGCUAGUUGGUAAGGUAACGGCUUACCAAGGCGACGAUCAGUAGCCGACCUGAGAGGGUGAACGGCCACAUUGGAACUGAGACACGGUCCAAACUUCUACGGGAGGCAGCAGUGGGGAAUAUUGCACAAUGGGCGAAAGCCUGAUGCAGCAACGCCGCGUGAAGGAAGAAGGCCUUCGGGUCGUAAACUUCUGUCCUUGGGGAAGAAGAACUGACGGUACCCAAGGAGGAAGCCCCGGCUAACUACGUGCCAGCAGCCGCGGUAAUACGUAGGGGGCAAGCGUUAUCCGGAAUUAUUGGGCGUAAAGAGUACGUAGGUGGCAACCUAAGCGCAGGGUUUAAGGCAAUGGCUCAACCAUUGUUCGCCCUGCGAACUGGGAUGCUUGAGUGCAGGAGAGGAAAGCGGAAUUCCUAGUGUAGCGGUGAAAUGCGUAGAUAUUAGGAGGAACACCAGUGGCGAAGGCGGCUUUCUGGACUGUAACUGACACUGAGGUACGAAAGCGUGGGGAGCAAACAGGAUUAGAUACCCUGGUAGUCC